UACAAGUAUUCUGGAUGUGAGGUUGGAC
rnacentral:piRNA from 1 species